rnacentral:sRNA from 1 species
GGAGCUGUUUUGGGUAUUGGACAACACAUGAAGAAAGGAUCUGCUAGUAUAACUAAUAAGUUAGCAGUUUAAAACUAGUAUCCAGGUUUGUGCUGAAAGCUGUUUCUCUUUCCUUAGUGUUUGGUGCUGGCACCAACUCGGGAACUGGCCCAACAGGUGCAGCAAGUAGCUGCUGAAUAUUGUAGAGCAUGUCGCUUGAAGUCUACUUGUAUCUACGGUGGUGCUCCUAAGGGACCACAAAUACGUGAUUUGGAGAGAGGUGUGGAAAUCUGUAUUGCAACACCUGGAAGACUGAUUGACUUUUUAGAGUGUGGAAAAACCAAUCUGAGAAGAACAACCUACCUUGUCCUUGAUGAAGCAGAUAGAAUGCUUGAUAUGGGCUUUGAACCCCAAAUAAGGAAGAUUGUGGAUCAAAUAAGACCUGAUAGGCAAACUCUAAUGUGGAGUGCGACUUGGCCAAAAGAAGUAAGACAGCUUGCUGAAGAUUUCCUGAAAGACUAUAUUCAUAUAAACAUUGGUGCACUUGAACUGAGUGCAAACCACAACAUUCUUCAGAUUGUGGAUGUGUGUCAUGACGUAGAAAAGGAUG